rnacentral:snRNA from 1 species
AAAAAUAUGGAACGUGUCACGAAUUUGCGUGUCAUCCUUGUGCUAAUCUUCUCUGUAUCGUUCCAAUUUUAGUAUAUGUGCUGCUGAAGUGAGCAC